AACAGGAUUAGAUACCCUGGUAGUCCACCCCGUAAACGUUGGGAACUAGUUGUGGGGACCAUUCCACGGUUUCCGUGACGCAGCUAACGCAUUAAGUUCCCCGCCUGGGGAGUACGGCCGCAAGGCUAAAACUCAAAGGAAUUGACGGGGACCCGCACAAGCGGCGGAGCAUGCGGAUUAAUUCGAUGCAACGCGAAGAACCUUAUCAAGGCUUGACAUACACCAGAACACCGUAGAAAUACGGGACUCUUUGGACACUGGUGAACAGGUGGUGCAUGGUUGUCGUCAGCUCGUGUCGUGAGAUGUUGGGUUAAGUCCCGCAACGAGCGCAACCCUCGUUCUAUGUUGCCAGCACGUAAUGGUGGGAACUCAUGGGAUACUGCCGGGGUCAACUCGGAGGAAGGUGGGGAUGACGUCAAAUCAUCAUGCCCCUUAUGUCUUGGGCUUCACGCAUGCUACAAUGGCCGGUACAAAGGGCUGCAAUACCGUGAGGUGGAGCGAAUCCCAAAAAGCCGGUCCCAGUUCGGAUUGAGGUCUGCAACUCGACCUCAUGAAGUCGGAGUCGCUAGUAAUCGCAGAUCAGCAACGCUGCGGUGAAUACGUUCCCGGGUCUUGUACACACCGCCCGUCAAGUCAUGAAAGUCGGUAACACCUGAAGCCGGUGGCCUAACCCUUGUGGAGGGAGCCGUCGAAGGUGGGAUCGGUAAUUAGGACUAAGUCGUAACAAGGUAACC
rnacentral:rRNA from 1 species